rnacentral:rRNA from 1 species
UACAGAGGUCCCAAGCGUUGUUCGGAUUCAUUGGGCGUAAAGGGUGCGUAGGUGGCGCUGUAAGUCGGGUGUGAAAUUUCGGAGCUUAACUCCGAAACUGCAUUCGAUACUGCGGUGCUCGAGGACUGGAGAGGAGACUGGAAUUCAUGGUGUAGCAGUGAAAUGCGUAGAGAUCAUGAGGAAGACCAGUGGCGAAGGCGGUCUCUGGGCCUUAACCUGACACUGAGGAGCGAAAGCGUGGGGAGCGAACAGG